AACGAACGCUGGCGGCAGGCUUAACACAUGCAAGUCGAGCGCCCCGCAAGGGGAGCGGCAGACGGGUGAGUAACGCGUGGGAACAUACCCUUUAGUACGGAAUAGCCUCGGGGAAACUGGGAUUAAUACCGUAUACGCCCUACGGGGAAAGGAUUUAUCGCUAAAGGAUUGGCCGCGUUGGAUUAGCUAGUUGGUGAGGUAAUGGCUCACCAAGGCGACGAUCUAUAGCUGGUCUGAAGAGGAUGAUCAGCCACACUGGGACUGAGACACGGCCCAGACUCCUACGGGAGGCAGCAGUGGGGAAUAUUCGGACAAUGGGCGAAAGCCUGAUCCAGCCAUGCCGCGUGAGUGAUGAAGGCCCUAGGGUUGUAAAGCUCUUUCGCUAGAGAAGAUAAUGACGGUAUCUAGUAAAGAAGACCCCGGCUAACUUACGUG
rnacentral:rRNA from 1 species